rnacentral:misc_RNA from 1 species
UUGGGUAGGCUUAGGCCGUAAAUCCCCACCAUUGUGAACGAAGCUUUAGUCGUAGUUGCUUCGGCGGGUGGUAAUACCAAGCUCCUUACGGGGUACCCGCCGGAGGCAAGUAACCUCUUGUUAAUUUAUUGUUAUAUCUGAGUAAACUUUUUAAUAAGUUA